rnacentral:rRNA from 1 species
AGCGAACGCUGGCGGCGUGCCUAACACAUGCAAGUCGAGCGAAGGCAUGAGUGUAGCAAUACACUUAUGUACUUAGCGGCGGACGGGUGAGUAACACGUGGAUAAUCUGCCCUGGGGACCGGGACAACUCUUGGAAACGGGAGCUAAUACCGGAUGUGACCACGAUGCUUGAGGGCAUUGGGGUAAAAGGGCGGGCCUGCAAGGGCUGUUGCUUCGGGAUGAGUUCACGACCCAUCAGGUA